rnacentral:piRNA from 1 species
ACAGAGUAGAUUUAAACAGAGGG